AGAAAUUCUCCUCUGAAUGCUAGAUUCCCUGGAUUGGAUCCAUCGGUCUCUGAUCGAGUUAAGAACCAGACAUGGGCUGUGAAGUCC